UGGCAAAGCUAGCAGCUGUUUGUUUAUUAACCAUCAUAUGCAUUAUGGAUUUUGGGAUGUGCCUUUUCUAUACAGACAGCAAAGAAAACGAUUACCCACGAAUUGGAAAGAGAAGACAUUAUGAUGAACUUGUAUACAAUAACAAUUACCAGCAAAAAUACAGAGAAUCCAAAAAGUCAAUGGACCGUUUAACAUUUAGUGAAGCUGUUAUACCAUCUGUGUUAUUGUUUCAAUAUUUUGACUUGGAUAACGACGGAUUCAUAUCUGCAAGCGAAUUUUCAAGAAGAAUAUCAUCUGGUUUAAGUUACUUGAUGCAACGAGAAAUGAACUGGGAUCAUUAGCUGGAACAAUAUUUUGUCUGUUCAUAUAUGGGACUUGGAUAUAUUUGUAUAACACUUACUACUUAAAAAUGACGGGUAGUUAAUGAUGAGGGUGGUUACUAAUAUUACUGAGGGAUGGUUAAUGAUAUUACUGAGGGAUGGUUAAUUAUAUUACUGAGGGAUGGUUACUGAUAUUACUGAGGGAUGGUUAAUUAUAUUACUGAGGGAUGGUUAAUGAUAUUACUGAGGGUUGGUUACUGAUAUUACUGAGGGAUGGUUAAUUAUAUUACUGAGGGUUGGUUACUGAUAUUACUGAGGGUUGGUUACUGAUAUUACUGAGGGUGAUUACUGAGGGGUAGUUACUGAUAAUACUACAUAAGGCACGUAGAAAGAAUCUUACUGCCGUCAAUGCGUAAAUUGAUUGACAUAUUUUAUCGUUUCAUUGUUUCAGUUUUCAUACUUAUAGUACCAACGUUGACAAUCUUAAAUUACCUCAGUGAUCCUUCUUUACUGCUUAUUGAUCAUAUUUCUUUAAAAAAGAUAAUUUAUAGAUAAUUCUAAACAUUUGUUAUGCUUUCAGUUGAACUGAUCUGGCCCUAUGUCAUGCUAUUUUUAGCGCCCUUAGCGUUAUGUGUCUGUCAUAAAACAAAACCUUCUAGACCAGGACGCAAAGUUGCAUCCGACGAAACCGCUUACAGACAAACAACUGAAACGAAACUGAAAGGGACUGUAUUAAACUCAUUAAAUCUUAUCACUUUCUUUUUCUACAAUCAUAAGACCUAUUUGGCUAAUAUGAACGUUUCUAAAAUGAAUUAUGGCUGAGAUAAGGAGAUAUUGGGUAUAUAUCUAUGAGACAGCAACCUUCCGACACAAAUAUCCGAAAGACAUCUAGUCAGAUGUCUACAGACAGUCUUCAACAAUACACACAGGUGAUUGUAUAAUGUAAACAAAUCCUGUGAAUCUCUAAACCGACCCUCCUCUUUUCCACACCUAUUCUGAAAAAAAAACCUUUAACUGGGGCUAUUUAAUACCUGCCAUCAACGCCACAUACUAAGAUAUGACACGUGACAACCACAAACGAGGUUCUAGACUUUGUCCUGACCCAUAACAUGUGGUAGAGUUAAACAAGUUUUUGAGAUCUCAACCUUUCCCCUUUUUAUUGAAGAUAAAUGGACAAAUAAAAGGUUCACUUUUUACCUUACAGACAGAUAUGAACAACAAAAAACCCGUUUUGCAAAAGAAAUCAAAUUUCCGCCUCAAUUUAUUUGUGUGUAAACUAGUCUGUUGGCUCACAAACAGAUUUUGAUAUUCGAUUCUAUUUUAAGCCUGGUAACAACUUACACAUUGAUUUAUUCAGACAAACCUAUUAAUCUCGACACACGCAGUAACAAAUUCACAGAUGAACAACAGGAAAUGAUAAGGACAACCAUUAAAAAUAUUGCGUCAAGGUAGUGAAGUAUUUCGAAAAGAUAUCAAACUAUUGUGUACAAUAUUAUUCUCUACAUCAGCAUGAUCAGAAAGAAUAAUGUAGAAUUAUUUAUUUUCCUAAAACCUUUCAUCCCUGCAAAUGCAAACAGAUUCAAAUUUCAAUUCGUAAAUUAUGACUAAUUUCAUUUGUUUAAGAUACAUGCAAGAAAUGAAAAUAAAGUUUUAUAACAUUCAAAUGUAAGUAUAUUUACAGUGACAAUCGACUAAUAUCAAAUUUAUAUAUAUACAUAUACAGCAAAAGUUGUACCGAGUGCCUUUUAUUGGGAAAAUAAACCAGUGUUGCACUGAAUAUAUUGUUACAGUAUAGCAAAACAAUGAAAUACACACUAACGGGAUUGAUUUCCAGUUUUAUAAUAUCAUUACUUUUCUGAACCUAUUAACAAUAUGUAUAGAUUACUGUCCUUCAUUUGGGUGUAGCAAUGUCUUGUUACAAUAAAAAACAAUCAGUUAGCAAUGUCUUGUUACAAUAAAAACAAUCAGUGAUUA